rnacentral:rRNA from 1 species
UACGAAGGGGGCUAGCGUUGUUCGGAAUCAUUGGGCGUAAAGAGCUCGUAGGCGGUCUGUCGCGUCGGCUGUGAAAACUCGGGGCUCAACUCCGAGCUUGCAGUCGAUACGGGCAGGCUAGAGUUCGGGAGAGGUGAGUGGAACUGCGAGUGUAGAGGUGAAAUUCGUAGAUAUUCGCAAGAACACCAGUGGCGAAGGCGGCUCACUGGCCCGAUACUGACGCUGAGGCACGAAAGCGUGGGGAGCAAACAGG